GUUUCAAGGAAGCACCCUUUACCCACUGGAGAAGGAGAAGAGCUCCAGUGGGCGUGGCCCAGCCAGCCUGACGAGGCCUGAAAGGCCGAAACGCGCGUCGCUGGAUAUUAUCCGCAUGUGUUUGUCACUUCAUUUAAAGCCCCGAUUCGAUUUCUUCCAGGGUCCUUGGGGUGGCCAUCGUUCGGCUUGGCGUCGCCUGGACAGGUUGUGAUGGAGCGAGCACACCCUCCUCUUCUCUCUUUUCUUUUUUUCACACUCUCUCUCUCUCUAUCCCUCUCCCUCUCCUCUCCUAAACCUAACCUUUACUCUCUCCUCUCCUAAACCUAACCUUUACUCUCUCUCUCAUCUCACUCUCUCUCUCUCUCUCUCACUCACUCUCUCUCUCUCUCUCUCUCUCUCUCUCUCUCUCUCUCUCUCUCUCUCUCUCUAUCUCACUCUCUCUCUCUCCUAACCCUAACCCCAACCCCAACCACAAACCUGACACGCCAGUGCCUCCGGCCUUGUUUCGGGUGGCGUCCUGCCUGCGAUGAUUGUCACUCUGGGUGGCCUGCUCGGGUCCUUGGGGUGGCCAUCGUUCGGCUUGGCGUCGCCUGGACAGGUUGUGAUGGAGCGAGCACACCCUCCUCUUCUCUCUUUUCUUUUUUUCACA